UGGGGUGUAGCUCAGUGAUAGGGCACAUGCUUUGCAUGCAUGAAAUAUGGAGUUUAAUUCCAGCAUUUCAA
rnacentral:tRNA from 1 species